GUAUAAAUACAGUGUGUGUGUGUGUGUGUGUGUGUGUGUGUGUGUGUGUGCGUGUGUGUGUGUGAGAUCCAGGUCUAACUAUUCAUGUGGAGACCAGACGUCCCCACAAAGAAGAUCAAGUUGCUGCCUGAUGAGUCCUGCUGCCACUGCCACUGCCCUCAUCCCACCUGAAUGUCCCUGUCCUGCCUACCUGUUUAUGCAGUGGACUUUGAUUCUAUUUAAGGACUCUGGUCACAGCCCACUUGCAUUUAUUGACCUGCUCUGAUCAGCUUUCUAACAGACGCCUGAAGGUUUUGUGCCAAAAUUGC